GUUUGUCAUGAUCAGGUCCGC
rnacentral:siRNA from 1 species